rnacentral:rRNA from 1 species
UACGUAGGCAGCAAGCGUUGUUCGGAGUUACUGGGCGUAAAGGGUGUGUAGGCGGUUGUUUUAAGUUUGGUGUGAAAUCUCCCGGCUCAACUGGGAGGGUGCGCCGAAUACUGAAUGACUUGGAGUGCGGGAGAGGAAAGUGGAAUUCCUGGUGUAGCGGUGAAAUGCGUAGAUAUCAGGAGGAACACCGGUGGCGAAGGCGGCAUCCUGGACCGGUAUUGACGCUGAGGCGCGAAAGCUAGGGGAGCAAACGGG